rnacentral:tRNA from 1 species
GCCGGCGUAGCUCAGUGGUAGUAGCACUCGUUUCAUAAGCGAGAUGUCACAGGUCCGAUCCCUGUCGCCGGCA